rnacentral:pre_miRNA from 1 species
AGGACACAGGCGGAGCGGAAGGCAACGUGCGCCACGCAGCCUAAUCACCGCCCCUAUAGUCC